rnacentral:lncRNA from 1 species
AGGAUAUCCAGUAAGGCAGUCAUUUCAUCCAUUCACUUAAUCACACAAUUUUCCAUUUUCCUUUAGUCUCCAUUUUCCAGAUCAGUCGUGAUCAGAUAAACAAACAAACAUGCAUCAGGGAAUGCAAUCAUAUCUCAGUUUCUCAAUUUAACAGUAGUCAAAUAAGGUAGCAAUACAUGCAUUCAAACAAUAAAAUUGAUAAAUCAGACACUAUCAUGCAUUUAAACUGUAAAAUAAAUCAACAGAGAAU